rnacentral:rRNA from 1 species
CUACGUGCCAGCAGCCGCGGUAAUACGUAGGGGGCAAGCGUUAUCCGGAUUUACUGGGUGUAAAGGGAGCGCAGGCGGUUUUGCAAGUUGAGAGUGGAAGCAGGGGGCUCAACCCCCUGACUGCUCCCAAAACUGUAGGACUUGAGUAUGGGAGAGGCAGGCGGAAUUCCUAGUGUAGCGGUGAAAUGCUUAGAUAUUAGGAAGAACACCGGUGGCGAAGGCGGCCUGCUGGACCAAAACUGACGCUGAGGCUCGAAAGCGUGGGUAGCAAACAGGAUUAGAUACCCUGGUAGUCCACGCCGUAAACGUUGGGCACUAGGUGUGGGGGACAUUCCACGUUUUCCGCGCCGUAGCUAACGCAUUAAGUGCCCCGCCUGGGGAGUACGGCCGCAAGGCUAAAACUCAAAGAAAUUGACGGGGGCCCGCACAAGCGGCGGAGCAUGCGGAUUAAUUCGAUGCAACGCGAAGAACCUUACCAAGGCUU